CGAAAGCAUGAUCAUGAAACGUAAAAGGUCCCAUCUGCUCUGGCAUAUGGAAUACUUCUGUGUGUGUUCGAACGACAAUUAGCUGCCUAAUGUCUGGUAUGCAUGGAAUUCUAUACCUCUGGAUUAAACGAAAUUGUCGCCUCAUCGUUUAAAUCAUCCGCUGCUAUGUUCCUCAUUGGGAAGUGACAAAAUUUUGUUUCUAAUGCAAAAAUAUGUACAUGUUACUAUUAACUGUGGCUUAAAUGAAAUAGACGUACAUAAAAAAUAAAUAAAUGCAAUGUCUAUAUAAGGAACAGAAUAUUACAGACAAUACUCUAUUUAUUUAAUUGAAAAAGAUUUUUUGAGAACAUUUCAAUAUAUCAAGUAUACUUACGCGUAUACUGAACUUCGAAGUAAUGAUAUGAUAAACCUUGGUGUACGUACAUAUCUGUUUCUGUUCCUGCUUACACACAUACGAAUGUCCUGGUUUAUUAUCUACUAUUCUACCGGUUUAUUAUCGUGACAAGUUGUUGGUAUCUAUCGGUUUAUCGAUUUUGGUCUCUCUACAUAUUACAGAAGCACAUAACUUAAAGCACAUACAUCUAUAAAUCUACAAAUCGAUUUUCUCAAAAACGAAACCUUACUUGAAGAAAUUUUACCUUUCAUUUCCGAUUUACAUAUAUAUAUAAAGAAAAGAUACGAUUAUUAUAAAAGAUACUAUAUUAUCAUUCACAGUUAAUCUGAAUUAAUUAACAAUUUCUACAUUUUAAUUUUAUUCCUUAACAUUACCGUUAGCCACUUUGCUUUUCUCUUAUUUGCGCUUAAUAAGGCACAACAUGGAGUUAGGCGCGAAAAUUAUAGUCGAAAAAGAAAAGCGUGUAAUUCGAAAUACUAUUUUCUAUUUUGGCAUAAUUAUUCGUCUACGCAGUUAGAGAGAUCGCCGAUAAACCGUACGGUAUACACCUCUCACCUUUUCGACGUGGAAAUUAAUGAACAAAAAAAAAGGAUAAAAAGGAAAAGUGUGAAAACAUCUCGUUAACGAGUCGGCCUUAACAUCGAUUUUAUAUUUUCUUGUAUUAAUCGUUCGUCGUUAAAUAAAAUAUCGUUUCAUGCAAGAUCAAUGAGGUUCAAGUAGCGACGAAUGGAUUUCAUAGGCGUCCAAUUAAAACUCCAACUCGUGCGCUCCUCAACUCCUUAUUUUACGUAUUUGUUAUACGCGUAUGUUUGAAUAUGAACAAAUAGCGUUUUCAAGCAAUUUAUAUGAAACGUAACAACAAGACAGAUGAUUUGCAUUGCUAAUCUUUAGCAAGGAAAAUAAGUUACUUUAUAAAUUGAUACAAUAUUAUGUCAUUGUUUAAAAAAAAAAAAAAAAAGAGAACAUCCGGCAAUGUAAAAAAUAUUCCGUGUUUCGCAAUUAAUGUUUGUAUUCAUAUUAUGCUUUUCAUCGUUAUUUAUUUAUUAUACGCUAUGUAUCAUAAUUAUAAAAACAUCCUAACAUUUUUCAUUCUUACGUAGCUAUAAGAUACAAGAUACAAUAAUGAAGAUUAUACAUAAUCAAGCUUAUACACGUUAUCGUUACAAUUUUAUUUCAAUGUAUCCCGAGCAUAAUAAAAUUCCAAUAACAAUUUAUAAUUGUCGUUCAUCGUUAUUAGAUUGCUCAAGUCGGUUUGAAAUUUUAAUUACAAGUUUUUAGCUCGCAUCAAAUAUUUUCAACGACUCAACCUCGUCCAUAAUCUAAAGAAUGUUAUUGAAAUAUUUUGCGAGAAGGAUUAGACAAUUCAAAUUUUAAAUUAAAACACCAUUUCUCUGAAUUUCGCGUUUUAUCUCUAACGUAACAAGCAUUAUAUAUGUUUCAUCUAUGUUCUCUUUUUGAACGCAGUCCAACGUUCAUUAAGAACUUCAAUUAAUGCAAUCGUUCUACCUUUUCGUUGUUUUAUUUCGUGUCCAUCGCGCCGCCGCUGGUGCCAGCAAACCACGAAGAACCAUCGAGAAAUUUUCUCGUCUCCGUCACUCGCGCAA